rnacentral:ribozyme from 1 species
AACGAGAAAGAAGAAAAAAAAAAACGAGCUCAUUGCUUCUUCUUCUUCUUCUCUCUCGAUUCAAUUCUUUGUUCUUUUUUCUUCU